GAAAAAGUCAGGAAAGGCUAAGACCCCAACUGUCAUCGAUGGCAUUCCAACAGAGGAGAUGACUAAAGAACAGCUGGAAGAGCAUGUGGUGCGUUUAAGAGAGGAAUUAGAUCGUGAAAGGGAAGAGAGAAACUAUUUCCAAUUAGAGAGAGACAAAGUAAACACUUUUUGGGAGAUCACAAAGCGACAACUAGAGGAAAGGAAAGCAGAAAUCAGAAACAAGGAUAGAGAGAUGGAAGAUGCUGAAGAAAGACACCAAGUAGAAAUUAAGGUCUAUAAACAAAAAGUGAAGCACUUGCUGUUUGAGCAUCAAAACAACAUCUCUGACCUGAAGGCUGACAAUGUGUGUGCCCUCAAACUUGCUCAGGAGGAUCACAGGGAGGAGGAAAAGAAGCUGAGGAAAGACAAGCGAGGCCUCAAAGUCACCCUCAAAGAGGAGGAGCUGUCCCAUGAGGACAUCAUCAAAAAUCUGAAAAAGAAACAUGAUGAACAGAUCACUCAGCUGAGGAGUGACUUUGAGAGACAGGCAAGAGAAAUUGAAGCCAAAUAUGAGAAGAAGAUGAGAACAUUGAGAGAUGAACUAGAUCUUCGUCGCAAGACAGAAAUCCAUGAAAUUGAAGAAAGGAAGAAUGGCCAGAUUAAUGAACUUAUGAAAACACAUGAGAAGGCCUUUACAGACAUCAAGAACUAUUACAAUGAUAUCACUCUCAAUAACCUGUCUCUCAUCAACACACUGAAGGAACAAGUUGAAGAAUCUAAGAAGAAGUAUGAACACAUGGAGAAAGACAGAGCAGAAGUCAUGGCUGAAAAUAAACGAUUACUGGAGCACUCCGUGAGGCCAAAGAACAAGUGGACCUCUUGAAGAAAACAAUUAGCAAACUACGAGAAGGACAAAGAAACCCUCAGAAUGACAAAAGCCAGGCUAAAGGUAACAGAGGAGGAACAAAGGGCCCUCAAGUGGGAGCAUGAGGUCUUGGAACAAAGGUUUGAAAAGACUCAGGAUGAGAGAGAUGACCUGUACAGGAAGUUUGUGAAGGCCAUCCAUGAGGUGCAGCAGAAGAGUAACUUCAAGAAUCUCCUUCUUGAGAAGAAACUGGGGGCACUUGCUGACACCCUGGAGAAGAAAGAGGCCCAACUCAAUGAGGUCCUGUCCGCCUCCAACCUCGAUCCCACAGCACUCACUGUUGUCACCAGGAAACUUGAGGAUGUCCUUGAUUCCAAGAACAGUGCUAUCAAAGAUCUACAAUAUGAGCUGGCUCGAGUCUGCAAAGCUCACAAUGAUCUACUGAGGACAUACGAAGCCAAACUUACACAGUUUGGUAUACCCACUGAAGAGCUUGGCUUUAAACCAUUGGAAAGCACUGUAGGAGGUCAGGCUUUGGACAGGACCAGCAGGACUUGUAUCAGCCCCCUCCUAGAUCUGACUAAUACCUUCCAAAUCCGUCCACUUAAUAUAAUUUUGUUCAUUUUAUGAACACUUGUGAAAUCUAUCUGAAGGCAUUACAUUACACGAUUACGAAAUGUGAAGAGGAAAUGUGAAAACAAUGCUAUAAAAAUACACUAUGAAGGCACCAAUUACUGUUUUGAGGUCUUUAAGAGUUAUAAGUUAUUUUAACUGUUAUAUUAUUAGUAUUUUUUUUUUGUAUCAAAUCAUGUCUGUGAUUGAGUUUUCCUUGUAUGAAUGGAUAAGUGUGAAAUGUGGCAAGUAUACCAGAAUAAACUGUGAUAACUCU
rnacentral:misc_RNA from 1 species